ACCAACAGGGAUUGCCUCAGUAACGGCGAGUGAAGCGGCAACAGCUCAAAUUUGAAAUCUGGCUCUUUCAGGGUCCGAGUUGUAAUUUGUAGAAGAUGCUUUGGGUGUGGUUCCGGUCUAAGUUCCUUGGAACAGGACGUCAUAGAGGGUGAGAAUCCCGUAUGCGACUGGAUGCCUUCGCCCGUGUAAAGCUCUUUCGACGAGUCGAGUUGUUUGGGAAUGCAGCUCAAAAUGGGUGGUAAAUUUCAUCUAAAGCUAAAUAUUGGCCAGAGACCGAUAGCGCACAAGUAGAGUGAUCGAAAGAUGAAAAGCACUUUGGAAAGAGAGUUAAACAGUACGUGAAAUUGUUGAAAGGGAAGCGCUUGCAACCAGACUUGCGCGCCGUCGAUCAUCCGGGGUUCUCCCCGGUGCACUCGGUGGUGUUCAGGCCAGCAUCGGUUUGGGUGGUUGGAUAAAGGCCUUGGGAAUGUAGCUUCUUUCGGGGAGUGUUAUAGCCCUCGGUGCAAUGCAGCCUAUCCGGACCGAGGACCGCGCUUCGGCUAGGAUGCUGGCGUAAUGGUUGUAAGCGACCCGUCUUGAAACACGGACCAAGGAGUCUAACAUCUAUGCGAGUGUUUGGGUGUCAAACCCAUACGCGUAAUGAAAGUGAACGGAGGUGAGAACCCUUAAGGGUGCAUCAUCGACCGAUCCUGAUGUCUUCGGAUGGAUUUGAGUAAGAGCAUAGCUGUUGGGACCCGAAAGAUGGUGAACUAUGCCUGAAUAGGGUGAAGCCAGAGGAAACUCUGGUGGAGGCUCGCAGCGGUUCUGACGUGCAAAUCGAUCGUCAAAUUUGGGUAUAGGGGCGAAAGACUAAUCGAACCAUCUAGUAGCUGGUCCUGCRU
rnacentral:rRNA from 1 species